ACACAAACACACCUGCACACAAAUGCCUGCCCACGUGCGGCCGCCCAGUGUGACGGCAAUCCCGCGCCUGGACCAGGCUCACCCUGCCCCUGGCUUUGUCCUCCCUGUAGGCCCUUGUUCUAGACUCCUGGCAGCAGUCACGCCAUUUCUGAGUGGUCUGGGGAGGCGUGGGGCCUUCCUCAGACAUCAGGGAGCCAGACCUCCAAGAAUCUGUAGGGUAUGCCCGUCCCCAUGUUCGUUCUCUACACCGUUACCAGAGUGACCUUUGUCCAGUAAUGAACGUCUGCUUAAAGUCCCCACUGGGACCCCAUCACCUUCAGAAGAUUGCCUCAGCUCUAGGGUCAUCCCGCUCACCCGUCGGACCACCUGUUCCACCAGGUAACCACAUGUACCCUUUGCUUCAACCUGCAAGCCCUCCCUCGCCUCCGAGCUUUCACCCACAGUC
rnacentral:lncRNA from 12 species